rnacentral:lncRNA from 1 species
AUGCCUGUCAACAGCACUGCUGUGUCCUGGACCAGUGUUACCUACAUCACUGUGGAGAUUCUCAUCGGGCUCUGCGCCAUAGUGGGCAACGUGCUGGUCAUCUGGGUGGUCAAGCUGAACCCCAGCCUGCAGACCACCACCUUCUAUUUCAUUGUCUCCCUAGCCCUGGCUGACAUUGCUGUCGGGGUGCUGGUUAUGCCUCUGGCCAUUGUCAUCAGCCUGGGUGUCACAAUCCACUUUUAUAGCUGCCUUUUCAUGACCUGCUUGAUGCUGAUAUUCACCCACGCAUCCAUCAUGUCCUUGCUAGCCAUUGCUGUGGACCGAUACCUGCGGGUCAAGCUCACAGUCAGAUCCAGGAUUCCUAAGGCCCCUGGGUCCAUCUGGUCAUCCCAGUUGAAGAUUCACUUCUUUCCAGUCAUGAGGCUCUUCAUUCUGCUCUCUUUGACUGUCUUUUCAGAUGCCAUGGUCAUGGACGAGAAGGUCAAGGAAAGCUUUGUGCUGGACACAGCUUCCGCCAUCUGCAACUACGACACCCACUAUAAAGACCACCCCAAGUACUGGUGCCGAGGCUAUUUCCGGGACUACUGCGACAUCAUCGCCUUCACACCCAACAGCACCGACCGCGUGGCCCUGAGGGACACAGGAAGCCAACUCAUUGUCACUGUGUCCUGCCUGACCAAGGAGGACACAGGCUGGUACUGGUGUGGCAUCCAGCGUGACUUUGCCAGAGAUGACAUGGACUUUACAGAGCUGGUUGUGACCGAUGACAGAAGAGCCAUCACCGACAAUUUCUGGUCCGGGCAAGACCUAUCGGGCAACAAGAACAGAAGCUGCAGGGCUUCCAAGGUUGUCCACAAGGCAGAUCACUCCAGGAUGUUCAUUCUCAUCAUUUGCAUACUGAUCACGGGCUUAGCGCUCAUCUCCAUAUUCAGUCGUUUGUCCCGAAGGAGGAGAAACCAAAGGAACAGAACGGGUAAAGGCCUAACGAGAAACCAGAAAACCAGCCAAGCUUCUGCAAGCCCCACGCCGCUGCAGACAACUCUUUGACGUCCCUUCCACAUGUCCUGACUCCAAAGGCAAUGGCUCACACUGAACAGAUGGGGCUGAAGAUUUCUUUUAUUAUUAAGUUCAUAAAUAAAACGAUGUUACAGUGGAAUCACCA